CUCUCUCUCUCUCUCUCUCUCUUUGUGGUUCGGGAUGGCGAGAGAUUACUGUCAAGUAGAGGAGGAUGAGAAUUUGUUUUUCUUUAAACUUCAUUGCGCAAGGGCAAUAUGCUGUUGGAAUUAGGUUCUGCUCGAUACUCUUUCUCCCUCUUUCUUUUUUUGUAGAACCCUUGGGAUAAUGGUGUUGGCCAGUAGAUUCCAUGCAAGAGAUCGUCCCAAUGUUUUGUCCUUUCUAAUCGCUCAUCCUUCCUUCAAGUGAUCGCAUCUCCUGUUGCCCUUGUUUGAAAGGGGGCGGGGCGCGAGUGGGAGAAUGGGAUGAGGAACCACUGUCUUUUUGGACGUCCAUGCAUCCGUUUUGGACGGAACCGGGUGGCCUAGGUAAAGUAUAACUCAGGCAGAAGGACUUGAUCUACGAACUGAGCUAGCACCAUGUUGUGUUCCUAAAUCAGGGUAUGUUCAGAUCAGACUUCUUCUCUUGGGUUGUCCCAGAGCACCAAAGUUUCCUCCCAGUGCAAUCUUUUGUUAAUUUAGAAAAGGAAAUGAUGCUGGGUGGAGGAUAGACUCUUGAGGAAGCUCAUCAGCGAACAAAGAUGUCACUGAGGUGCUGCCCUCUGAGUUUUGGACCAGGUAGUGAGGAAGGAAUCAACUGAAGUGGGAAGUUCAUC